CACACUACUCCGGCAUUUUUGAGCCCCUAAAACGGAUAUAUUUGAAAACAGUGCUGACCCUGCUUUAGUUUGAAAACUCAGAGGUUGCGUUUUAGUCUGGACGGCAGUCAUGUGACCCUUUUCUGCAAGAAAACAAACGACAUCAGCCUCAACUACCACGGAUUAAUUUCAACUUUUCACCACUGCUGUUCUUCCUCCGUAGUAUUAUCUGCAACUAAACAAGCGACAGAUGGUGCUCAGCUUCCCUCCGAACUCUGUAACCGCAGAUGACACACCUGCUGCCAGCUGAACUGGAGGACUUAAAAGGGAAAAUCCAUCCUUGGAUAAUGUUGGUGCAAAAAUUUUAAAUCUAAAAAGAAGUUCUAACUCUUUGAUACUGAGGGCCUGACACCUGAGCAUGACCUCUGCCUUUGAUGUCUGCCACAGUCAGAGUGGAAAUAUCUUGAUGCAGUUUCAAGACGUCAACUGUGUUCAUCUUUGUUACACAGCGAACAGUUAUGCUGAAUGUUUACCACCUGAAGCCAGCUCCAAACAGUGAGAGUGAGAUGCAGAUGAAAGCUUCUCUUAAAACAAGAACAUGCUGCUGUCAAGACCACCUGAACUGAGACCAAGUCAUGACCAAGACCAGAGUGCAUCGACACCAAGACAAGACCAAGACUUUGAUGGGUUUGACAAGUCAAGACCAAGACCAGACCAGUG